GACGAACGCUGGCGGCGUGCUUAACACAUGCAAGUCGAACGCUGAAGCCCUUUCGGGGGUGGAUGAGUGGCGAACGGGUGAGUAACACGUGGGUAAUCUGCCCUGUACUUCGGGAUAAGCCUUGGAAACGGGGUCUAAUACCGGAUAGGACCUGUCCUCGCAUGGGGGUGGGUGGAAAGUUCCGGCGGUAUGGGAUGAGCCCGCGGCCUAUCAGCUUGUUGGUGGGGUAGUGGCCUACCAAGGCGACGACGGGUAGCCGGCCUGAGAGGGUGACCGGUCACACUGGGACUGAGACACGGCCCAGACUCCUACGGGAGGCAGCAGUGGGGAAUCUUGCGCAAUGGGCGAAAGCCUGACGCAGCAACGCCGCGUGGGGGAUGACGGCCUUCGGGUUGUAAACCUCUUUCGACAUCGACGAGGGGGCCCUGUUGUGGGGUUUUGACGGUAGGUGUAGAAGAAGCACCGGCUAACUACGUGCCAGCAGCCGCAGUAA
rnacentral:rRNA from 1 species